rnacentral:rRNA from 2 species
CGNGNNANNNUGCAGUCGACGCGUUGGCCCAAUUGAUUGAUAGGUGCUUGCACCUGAUUGAUUUUGGUCGCCAACGAGUGGCGGACGGGUGAGUAACACGUAGGUAACCUGCCCAGAAGCGGGGGACAACAUUUGGAAACAGAUGCUAAUACCGCAUAACAACGUUGUUCGCAUGAACAACGCUUAAAAGAUGGCUUCUCGCUAUCACUUCUGGAUGGACCUGCGGUGCAUUAGCUUGUUAGUGGGGUAAUGGCCUACCAAGGCGAUGAUGCAUAGCCGAGUUGAGAGACUGAUCGGCCACAAUGGGACUGAGACACGGCCCAUACUCCUACGGGAGGCAGCAGUAGGGAAUCUUCCACAAUGGGCGCAAGCCUGAUGGAGCAACACCGCGUGAGUGAAGAAGGGUUUCGGCUCGUAAAGCUCUGUUGUUAAAGAAGAACACGUAUGAGAGUAACUGUUCAUACGUUGACGGUAUUUAACCAGAAAGUCACGGCUAACUACGUGCCAGCAGCCGCGGUAAUACGUAGGUGGCAAGCGUUAUCCGGAUUUAUUGGGCGUAAAGAGAGUGCAGGCGGUUUUCUAAGUCUGAUGUGAAAGCCUUCGGCUUAACCGGAGAAGUGCAUCGGAAACUGGAUAACUUGAGUGCAGAAGAGGGUAGUGGAACUCCAUGUGUAGCGGUGGAAUGCGUAGAUAUAUGGAAGAACACCAGUGGCGAAGGCGGCUACCUGGUCUGCAACUGACGCUGAGACUCGAAAGCAUGGGUAGCGAACAGGAUUAGAUACCCUGGUAGUCCAUGCCGUAAACGAUGAGUGCUAGGUGUUGGAGGGUUUCCGCCCUUCAGUGCCGGAGCUAACGCAUUAAGCACUCCGCCUGGGGAGUACGACCGCAAGGUUGAAACUCAAAGGAAUUGACGGGGGCCCGCACAANCGGUGGAGCAUGUGGUUUAAUUCGAAGCUACGCGAAGAACCUUACCAGGUCUUGACAUCUUGCGCCACCCUAGAGAUAGGGCGUUUCCUUCGGGAACGCAAUGACAGGUGGUGCAGGGUCGUCGUCAGCUCCUGUCCUGAAAAGUUGGGUUAAUUCCAGCACCANCGCCAC